UCUGAAACCACACCACGUUCCUAUUCAAGGUCUCAAAGUAUGCGAUGUGUGUUUGAAAAUUGAAAAGGGGCAUUUAAUUUCAGCGUGUGGCUGAAUAGGUGGCCAUCUGGGUGGAGAUCAACAAGGCGGGAGGGUGGCGGGCGUGCUGGAGCCUAUCCCAGCUGUCUUCGGGCAGUAGGCGGGGGACACCCUGAACCGGAUGCCAGCCAAACAAAGGGCACACAGAGACGAACAACCAUUCGCGUUCACAGUCACACCUAGGGACAAUUUAGAGUGUUGAAUCAGCCUGCCAUGCAUGUUUUUAGAAUGAGGGCGGUACCCGGAGUGCCCAGAGAAAACACACACAGGCACGGGGGAGAACAUGCAAAUUCCACAAAGGAAGGCCAGAGCCGGGAUCGAACGCCCAACCUAUGCACUGUGAGGGUGACAGGCUAACAAGUCGACCACCGGGUCGCCCAUAUAUGUAUAAAAAUUAAGAUGUGACAGUACAUGAAGGAAAAUGGACCUGUGUUACCUGUUGAGCUGUUGAGUUUUAUGUUUGUGGCUUGGCAAAAGGACAAAGAAAUGGAGCACCUUAGGGGAGCACACAUUUUUAUUUUGUUCAUAAUUAAAUAAAUUGUCCAAAAAAGUUUUGAGAAACAGAGUACAGUGACAGAGAUGUGGGAACCAACAGCAUGUUGAACAAAUUGCAGACAUUUUAAUGAGAAGUUUUGGGGGCAUUACAUCAAUGGCAACGGCUCACUAACAAAUAGUGACAAGUGAGCAAAUCCAGAAUCAAGUAAAAUGAGUGCAACGGCAGAUGAUGGUGAUGCCUUCCGACAACUUGAGAGUGCAGCGGGACAAGGAAAAAAAUGCAAGAAGCACGAAAGACGACAUCAUCAAGAUUAUUUAACAUAUAGUGGUACCUUGAUUCACAAGUCCGUCAAUAUCAGAGUUUUUCUAGUUGCGAGCUUGUCCUUUGGUUGAUUUUUUUGCUUUACGUUGACAUCAAAAUUUGACUUAAGAGCGAACUACACGGCGGCAACAAACUUCACAACAUCCAACCAUUAUCAGUUCAUGUUGGUUCCCUCAUUGAAACGAUCCCCCGUUUCAUGUGGAGGUUACUUUUCCAUAU